GACACCCCUGAUGUAGAACAACAACAACAAAAGUCUUUCAAGCUUACGAUUUUAACCCGGCGUUCUCCAGGGUGAUCUCCUCCAGGCUGGAUGAUUUGCUGACUGUGUGCAGGACCUGCUCCGUGACCUCUGACCCCUGACACCGAUCAACAGACAAGUAGAGCUUAGUGAACCAGGUGUUGUACGCCACCGAAGCGACAAUCACCGCCAAGUCCCUGCAGGCGACAGACAACCAUCAGUCUUACCUGCUUUCCAGGUGACUAAAAUCCAGCAAGUUGAACUCUCGGUUGUCCUGGGAGUGGUAGAUGGUGUCCACAUCCUAGAGGGUGACAUUAGCCAGGAGUCCGCAGGGAUCUCGUGCAAG